rnacentral:lncRNA from 1 species
AAAUAGAAGAUUGUGGAUCCGUGGGAACGCAGAGCAGGAAUGCGUGGCAGGAAAGAAUCUCCCAGGGAUUCACAGUUCACCCCUAAGUCAAUCCGUGGGGCCUGAGGGGCAAAGUGUCUGAGUGACCCAGCCCUCAGUCUUGUGUCCGUUCCUGAGAAGGAGGUCAGCCUUACCCCUCAGGAGCUGCAUGUACCAAAUACCACAGAUGGAGGCAGGAGCCUCGGAGCCGGCCCAGCAGCUCUCCUCACUGGAGGGGUGGACGGGAUGGGACCAGCUGCUCAUUCCACGCUGGAGGUGAGGCCAGGAGUCUCAGCUGGAUGCAGUCACCUGACUUGGAGAGUUCAAAGUCCCUAACACAGGGACUCUGGUACCCACAAGCCUGGAUCCUGGCGUGCUCUGCUGCUUUCCUUCAAGCCCUGGCCUCAUCAGACCUCCAAGGCUCCCUAGACAGGGUUAAUUAUUCACGUGGCCUGGGACCCAGGGUUCAUUUGUUUGUUUUUCCCUGACACAGUAGGUCCACGAGGAAGUCAGGAUCCACUGGCAAUGUUUGCAGUGCUGUGUUGAGUGUGGCAACUGGCUGCGUGACGAUAGAGAAGUAAACAGCAUGUCCGGUGGCAGUCGGUUACCACAUAGAAAUUAGGAUGCCCAGUGAAAUGCGAAUGCUAGGUAAGUGACACAUAACUUUUUGAUGUAAGUAUAUCCCAGGCAACAUUUAUUUAUUGGAAACUGAAACUCACAUUUAACUGGCCAUAUUAUUUUUAAAAAUUUGUUUUGUUUUCUAAAUCUAUCUUUUGUUUGCUGAAUUUCUAGCAACCUUAGAUGGAGAGGUGGCUCUGAGAUUAGCAUCCCCACAGACCCACCUCUGGCUGGAGAGACAAAGGGAGAUGGGGUGCUGCCAGGGAGGGAGAGCCAAGAUCCACUUCCACACCGCUCCCAGACCUGGAGCCAGAGGCCGGCUUGCUGAGGGCUGGGGCUCAGAGGGGAGCGAGCGGCUGCUGUCAUGCUGUCUGCAAAUGCUGUGCAGGUUCCCCGACUUUUUCUCGCCUAGCAGGUCACCUGGCCCACACUCUCCUCCCCUGAUCCCCUGAGUGCUCCCCUCCCCCUGCAGGUCCCUCUCCCCUCUGGGUGAACCUGGAUGCCAGCACCCUGUUCUGCCCACCCAGCAUGCAGAACAAAAGCACAAUGCACAGAAACACAGCCAGUAUGCGCAGGGCGGCAGGCUGGCUUCUCACUCUCUCCUGCUGAGGUCUCCACCCCCGUGCCCCUUCCCUCCUUCCCUCCCCUCUCCUCUUCUAUUAGAAAAUGUGAGUGUUAGGGUUGAAUUGUGUCCCCCAAAACAGGUAUGUUGGGGUCCUGAUCCCCAGUCCCCUAGAAUGUGACCGUGCUUGGAGAUGAGACCUUUACAGAGUAAUCCGAUUAAAAUGAGGUCAUUAGCAGGGACCCUAGUGCAGUAUGACUGGUGUCCUUUCAGAAAGGAGAAAUUUGGAUACAGACAGACACACACUGAGGGAAGGUGAAGUAAAGGGGCAGGGAGAAGAUGGCCUGCGACGGGAGUGACGCCCUUACAAGCCGAGGGACGCCUGGCAGUGCCAGCUGACACCAGGAGCAGAGAGUGGCCAGGAACGGUUCUCCCUGGAGACAUCCGGGACACACCUUGAUUUCAGGAUUCCAUGAUAGCUUCCAGAACUGCCAAAGAACGCAUUUCUGUGUUUUCAGCCACCCAGUCUGUGGUAUCUUGUGACUGCCGCCCUAGGAAAGUAAAACAAGGAGUUAAUUCAUGAAGGGUGGGGGAAAUACGUAUCCUUUGAAAUACCACCUAGAGGAAGGGGUAAUAGUACACCCGAUCAUGUGCUCCGGUUUAUGAAAUAGCUGCACGUCACUCGGAAUUUUGAAAAACAAUAUAUUUUCAGGACUC